rnacentral:snRNA from 1 species
GCGGAGCGGCCGUCGGUGCAGAUC